AGCGAACGCUGGCGGCAUGCCUAACACAUGCAAGUCGAACGAGACCUUCGGGUCUAGUGGCGCACGGGUGCGUAACGCGUGGGAACCUGCCCUUAGGUUCGGAAUAACUCCCCGAAAGGGGUGCUAAUACCGGCUAAAGUCUUCGGACCAAAGGUUUAUCGCGUUUGGAUGGGCCCGCGUUGGCUUAGCUAGUUGGUAGGGUAAAUGCCUACCAAGGCGACGAUCCAUAGCUGGGCUGAGAGGCUGAUCAGCCACACUGGUACUGGGACACGGCCCAGACUCCUACGGGAGGCAGCAGUGGGGAAUAUUGGACAAUGGGCGGAAGCCUGAUCCAGCACUGCCGCGUGAGUGAUGAAGGCCUUAGGGUUGUAAAGCUCUUUUACCCGGGAUGAUAAUGACAGUACCGGGAGAAUAAGCUCCGGCUAACUCCGUG
rnacentral:rRNA from 1 species